UACAGGAUGAUCGGCUCUAUAGUAGCCGUA
rnacentral:sRNA from 1 species